rnacentral:rRNA from 1 species
GUGUCAGCAGCCGCGGUAAUACGGAAGGUCCAAGCGUUAAUCGGAAUUACUGGGCGUAAAGCGCGCGUAGGUGGUUUUUUAAGUUGGAUGUGAAAGCCCUGGGCUCAACCUAGGAACUGCAUCCAAAACUAGAUGACUAGAGUACGAAAGAGGGAAGUAGAAUUCACAGUGUAGCGGUGGAAUGCGUAGAUAUUGUGAAGAAUACCAAUGGCGAAGGCAGCUUCCUGGUUCUGUACUGACACUGAGGUGCGAAAGCGUGGGUAGCGAACAGGAUUAGAUACCCUGGUAGUCCACGCCGUAAACGAUGACAACUAGCUGUUGGGAGACAAGAUCUCUCAGUGGCGCAGCUAACGCUUUAAGUUGUCCGCCUGGGGAGUACGGCCGCAAGGUUAAAACUCAAAUGAAUUGACGGGGACCCGCACAAGCGGUGGAGCAUGUGGUUUAAUUCGAUGCAACGCGAAAAACCUUACCUACUCUUGACAUACUUGGAAGCUCUUGUAAUGAGAGUGUGCUUUUAGAGCCAAGAUACAGGUGCUGCAUGGCUGUCGUCAGCUCGUGUCGUGAGAUGUUGGGUUAAGUCCCAUAACGAGCGCAACCCUUACCCUUAUUUGCCAGCGGUUCGGCCGGGAACUAUAAGGGGACUGCCGGUGACAAACCGGAGGAAGGUGAGGACGACGUCAAGUCAUCAUGGCCCUUACGAGUAGGGCUACACACGUGCUACAAUGGGGAAUACAGACGGACGCUAAAGCGUGAGCUGGUGCUAAUCCUAAAAAAUUUCUCGUAGUCCGGAUUGCAGUCUGCAACUCGACUGCAUGAAGUCGGAAUCGCUAGUAAUCGCGAAUCAGCAUGUCGCGGUGAAUACGUUCUCGGGUCUUGCACACACCGCCCGUC